rnacentral:ncRNA from 1 species
AGACCAGAGUGAGUGUUAGUCCCUCAGGCACUUGGUGGGGUGGGGUGGUCAUCUGACUGGGGUCUGCCUGGAGGCAACACAUCCAGUAGCCAAUUACACCUUGCUCAACCACACCCCCACAGGAAACAGCAGUGAUUAAAAUUAAGCUAUAAAUGAAAGUUUGACUAAAUCAUAAUUAUCUUUAAGGGUUGGUAAAUUUCGUGCCAGCCAUCCUGGUCAUACAAUUAACCCAAAUUAACAAACUUACGGCAUAAAGCAUGUUCAAGCAAAACAUUUAAAUAAAGUUAAUACUUAACUAAGUUGUUUAAUAAAGCUGAUACGACAACUAAGACACAAACUGGGAUUAGAUACCCCACUAUGCUUAGUCGUAAACUAAAAUAGUUAAAUAAGAAAACUACUCACCAGAGAACUACUAGCUACUGCUUAAAACUCAAAGGACUUGGCGGUGCCCUAAACCCACCUAGAGGAGCCUGUUCUAUAAUCGAUAAACCCCGAUAUACCCAACCCUAUCUUGCCAAUACAACCUAUAUACCGCCAUCUUCAGCCCACCCUAAAAAAGAUAUAAAGUAAGCAAAACUAUCUUCCAUAAAAAUGUUAGGUCAAGGUGCAGCAUAUGAUAGGGAAAGAAAUGGAUUACAUUAUCUAACCUAGAUAAUAAGGAAUCACAUUAUGAAAUUAAAUGUGCCUGAAGGAGGAUUUAGUAGUAAAUUAAGAAUAGAGUGCUUAAUUGAAUUAGGCAAUAGGGCGGGCACACACCACCCUCCUCAACUCAAUUUAUUAAAAUACCUAAUAACUUAUCUAAAUAAAGAGGAGAAAAGUCGUAACACAGUAAGUGCACUGGAAAGUGCACUUGGAAUAUUAAAAUG